UAGCUCAGUAGGAUAGAGCGACUGCCUCCUAAGCAGUAGGUCGUGGGUUCGACUCCCACCCGAAGCACCA
rnacentral:tRNA from 1 species